CAAUGAUUUAGGACUGGGAAUGGAGAGCUAGUAGGUGGGGCUAGAAUCGGCACCUGCGGAAAAUCCGACCAAUGAGGAGCGAACGACACAGCGGCCAUCUUGGUAAAGGAAAAGGAACAAGGAAGAAAGUGGAACCAAUUACCAAGCUAAGACAGGGUCUUGCGGUGUCACCCAGGCUGUCACAGGAGUGCAGUGGCGUGAUCAUAGCUCACUGUGGUCUCCAACUUCUGGGCUCAAGCGAUCUUCCUGCCUCUGCCUCCCAAAGUACUGGGAUUACUGGCAUAUGCCACCGCACCCAGAUGAGACUAACUUUUUAAUGUCAAAAACCUAUAAAAUAUUCGGAAAAAAAGCGUUUAAUCUCCAAGAGCCGCUAUGCAAAAGCACUGGAGACACAAAGAUCUGUAUGACACUGUUCCUGCCCUGAGACGGGGACAAGCUGGAGUUGGAAUUACCCAAUGAAGUUGUUCUUAAGAAGGCUACUGUAAAACCAGUAACAUGAAGGUGAAUCUGUGGUUUGGAGCUCCCCCUACAGUUUGUUUGAAGACUGUUCUCUCUCAUCUCCAAGAAAAAUGACCACUUUGGAAAAUGAGUUCUUACACAUGCUUGGAAAUAUUUUUAAUGUGUAUAUAUUAUUUAAAUUUAUGUUUAAAUGUGUACAUGAGGAAUUCGUUUUAUGCUAGACAUAUUUUUUUCUUUUGUUACCUGCUUUCUAGCUGUGGACUGUAUAAUUUAUUUUCCAAUAAGUCAAAGUCUUUGUUUUAGGUCAGAGUGCCAUUUUCAAGGUUGCUAAUUUCAGCAAGAGUUAAAUGUCACGUGAAACUUUAUGGCUAUUUGAGAAUUGGACAUUUUGAAUGAGAGAUUUUAUCAUUUUAUGUUUGGUUUACAUAUUUCUUUUCAAAUAUAGGGCCUGAAUUAUGACCAAGCACUAUACCUUUUAAUGAGGGAUAAAGAAUUGCAUGCCACUAUGUGCGUACUCUGAAAAAUACUCAUUUAGUUAGUCAUUUGACAAAUAUUGAUUGUCAUCUAUGUGCCAGAUACUGUUUAAGGCAUUAGGCACAUAUCAAUGAACAAAGCAGACAAAAAUGUCCCUGCCCUUGGGGAUCUUGUAGUUUAGUGAUGGAUGAAGGAGUGGUGGAUUAUAAAAAUUAUCAUGAUAAAGAAGUCAAUUACAUAGUGUAUUAGAAGGUUCAAAGUACUGUGAAAGCAAUGGGCCCUGGCACAGGAAAUCAGAUUGAAGGAAGGGAGAAGCAGUGAGGCAACUGCAAUUCCAAAUAGUGUGGUCAAGGAAACUCCCAUUGAAAAGAUUUGAGAAAAGACUUGGAGGUAAGAAGAGCUUUCCAGGCAGGGAAUAGCAAGUGCAGAGGCCUUGAAUCAGGAGCUUGCUGGUGCAUUCAAGGCACAGUAAGGGGGCUCAGCGUGCCUAGAGUGGAGUGAAGGGGAGUGUAGCAGUAAAUCAUGUAGGGCAAGAGUCAGCAAACCAGUGCAGCCUGUUUUUGUAAAUAAAGUUUUAUUGGAACAUG